GCAUAUCAAUAAGCGGAGGAAAAGAAACCAACAGGGAUUGCCCCAGUAACGGCGAGUGAAGCGGCAACAGCUCAAAUUUGAAAUCUGGCCUUCGGGUCCGAGUUGUAAUUUGGAGAGGAUGCUUCUGGCGCGGCACCGUCCGAGUUCCUUGGAACAGGACGCCAUAGAGGGUGAGAGCCCCGUACGGGCGGCUGCCUAGCCUUUGUGAAGCUCCUUCGACGAGUCGAGUAGUUUGGGAAUGCUGCUCAAAAUGGGAGGUAAAUUUCUUCUAAAGCUAAAUACCGGCCAGAGACCGAUAGCGCACAAGUAGAGUGAUCGAAAGAUGAAAAGCACUUUGAAAAGAGGGUUAAAAAGUACGUGAAAUUGUUGAAAGGGAAGCGCCUGUGACCAGACUUGCGGCUCGCGGAUCAUCCAGUGUUCUUCACCGGUGCACUCCGCGGGCUGCAGGCCAGCAUCGGUUUUCCUGGGGGGACAAAGGUCGCGGGAACGUAGCUCUUUCGGGAGUGUUAUAACCCGUGGCGUCAUGCCUCCGGGGGGACCGAGGACCGCGCUUCGGCAAGGAUGCUGGCGUAAUGGUCACCGGCGACCCGUCUUGAAACACGGACCAAGGAGUCAAGCAUUGGGGCGAGUGUCUGGGUGCCAAACCCGCACGCGAAAUGAAAGUAAACGCAGGUGAGAGCUUCGGCGCAUCACCGACCGAUCCUGAUGUCUUCGGAUGGAUUUGAGUAAGAGCCUUACCGCUUGGACCCGAAAGAUGGUGAACUAUGCCUGUAUAGGGUGAAGCCAGAGGAAACUCUGGUGGAGGCUCGCAGCGGUUCUGACGUGCAAAUCGAUCGUCAAAUAUGGGCAUGGGGGGCGAAAGACUAAUCGAACCAUCUAGUAGCUGGGUUACCGUUGA
rnacentral:rRNA from 1 species